rnacentral:lncRNA from 1 species
AAAGACUAAACUUAUCUAUUUUUGCAGAAGCAUCCUCUUUUGAAGAGGCCGAGUAUUGGUUAGCUGAGAUAGAGAAGGCCUUCGUGACUUUUAGGGUGGUUUUCGAACAGAAAGUUGUACUUGCUACCUACAUGCUUAUGGGAGAGACAGGUCGUUGAUGGCAACUCAAGCAGGCCACCCUGCUUGUCCCAAUCACUUGGGAAUAGUUCUUGAU